rnacentral:rRNA from 1 species
UACGUAGGGGGCAAGCGUUGUCCGGAAUCAUUGGGCGUAAAGAGCUCGUAGGCGGUUUGUUGCGUCGGCUGUGAAAACCUGAGGCUCAACCUCAGGCCUGCAGUCGAUACGAGCAGACUAGAGUGUUGCAGGGGAGACUGGAAUUCCUGGUGUAGCGGUGAAAUGCGCAGAUAUCAGGAGGAACACCGGUGGCGAAGGCGGGUCUCUGGGCAACAACUGACGCUGAGGAGCGAAAGCGUGGGGAGCGAACAGG